rnacentral:other from 2 species
CAUCCCCUGUGGUGUUCGGCAGCCGGCCCGAUGUUCCCUUGAGCCUAUGCUUACGCACCCCGGGGCCGGGUUACGGCAGCCAGUGUGCAUGUCCGCCUCGCAGCGGAAAGCCUGAGGCACCGCUUCGGUCCCACUUGAACCUCACGGUUCAAGGAUUACGGCAGGCACCGGCACUUGCGGGGGAUGC